rnacentral:rRNA from 1 species
AAGUCGUAACAAGGUUUCCGUAGGUGAACCUGCGGAAGGAUCGUUA